AAUGAUGGUGUGGUUGGUGCGCGGAAAAAGGCCGCCGCUAAUGGUCGGUUACCAAAACACGCAAACGAAGCAAUAAGAAUUCGAAUGAAAGACCACUUUGAACUGAGUAA
rnacentral:sRNA from 1 species